AGAACUGCUUCUUGCUGCCGCCAUAUGAAGAAGGACGUGUUCGCUUCCCCUUCCUCCAUGAUUGUAAGUUUCCUGAGACCUCGCCAGCCAUGCUGAACUGUUAUAAACAUCUUGAGAGCAAGGACUAAAUCUUACUUAUCUUUAUUAAGAACUAACAGUGGAACACACAGAAAAUCCAUGGAUAUACUGUCAGACUGUCACCAAAUAUACAUUCAACAUUUUUCUUACUUGUGAGACUGAUUUUGAGAAAAUUUGCUAUCACAGAAUCACUAAACUUUAGAGCAGGUAAAGACUCCUGCAAUGAUUUUAUUUACUUGCUAUAUUUUACCAAUAAGAAAACCGAGGCAUAGAGAAGUUGAGACUUUCUACACACCAGUGCCUAGUCUUCAUGAUGCUUAUGCCCAACCCUGAGUCCUUUCCUCUAUAUAAUCCUGCCUCAUUACAUUUCUGAAAGACGGAGAAGUUUUAUAACAACAAGAUGAAAGACUUUGGAAGUUUACAGAGGCUAUCAGGCUAUCUUCUCAUAGACCCAUCAUUUGUCCAGCAGAAAGAGACUAAAAAGGCUUAUAAGAAUAUCAAGACCCCAAUGUUGUACUUAUGGUUUGACUUUAUAUCUCUGACUAAUUACAGAAUUUGAUUAUUAAAAAAGGUUUUUUAUAUCAAA
rnacentral:lncRNA from 10 species